rnacentral:misc_RNA from 1 species
GUUGAUGAUAACAGAUACUCCAUGAAGAUAUUCUUUGAAAUCAGGAAGCAGAAAUAUCUUGAAGCUCUUGAUCAGCAAGACAAGGCUAAGGCUGUUGAAAUCUUAGUAAGUGAUUUAAAAGUAUUCUCAACAUUUAAUGAAGAAUUGUGCAAAGAAAUCACUCAACUCUUGACUCUUGGAAAUUUCAGGGAAAAUGAACAGCUAUCCAAGUAUGGUGAUACAAAAACAGCUCGUAGCAUAAUGUUGAUAGAGCUGAAGAAGCUCAUUGAAGCAAAUCCUCUUUUCCGCGAUAAACUUGCCUUUCCUACUCUGAAGUCAUCCAGGUUGAGGACUCUAAUUAAUCAAAGUUUAAACUGGCAGCAUCAGUUAUGCAAGAAUCCGAGGCCAAACCCUGACAUUAAGACUCUAUUCACCGACCAUACAUGUACACCUCCAAAUGGUCCUCUUGCUCCUGCACCUGUCAACCUUCCAGUUGCUGCUGUGGCAAAGCCUUUGAAUUAUACAUCUCUUGGGGCACAUGGUACCUUUCCACCCUCUGCUGCAGCAGCUAAUGCCAGUGCGUUAGCUGGUUGGAUGGCAAAUGCUUCUGCUUCUUCAUCUGUUCAAGCAGCUGUUGUCACUGCAUCAUCCAUUCCUGUUCCACAGAAUCAAGUUUCUGUCUUGAAACGGCCAAGAACACCACCAACAGCUCCGGGUAUGGUUGAUUAUCAAAGUCCUGACCAUGAACAACUAAUGAAACGUUUGCGGCCUGCCCAAACUGUUGAGGAGGUUACAUAUCCAACAUCUCGGCAGCAGGCAUCUUGGUCUUUGGAUGACCUGCCAAGGACAGUAGCUUUAACUCUUCAUCAAGGUUCAGC